rnacentral:rRNA from 1 species
UACGUAGGGCGCAAGCGUUUGUCCGGAUUUAUUGGGCGUAAAGAGCUCGUAGGCGGCUUGUUGCGUCGACCGUGAAAACCCGUGGCUCAACUGCGGGCUUGCGGUCGAUACGGGCGGGCUAGAGUUCGGUAGGGGAGACUGGAAUUCCUGGUGUAGCGGUGAAAUGCGCAGAUAUCAGGAGGAACACCGGUGGCGAAGGCGGGUCUCUGGGCCGAUACUGACGCUGAGGAGCGAAAGCAUGGGUAGCGAACAGG